rnacentral:lncRNA from 1 species
UGGAAUAAAAUUUUAUUUUAAGUCAUUUAGGGGUAAAAUACUUAUUUUUAGUGUCAAAGUGGUUGAUUGAUAUAAGUUUAGAAACAAAUGUGGUGCAAAGUACAUGUCAAAAUUGAGUAAUGAUAUAGCCACAAAUUCUUGUACAAACUUAUUUAGUACAAACUGAUGUGUCGUUAAUUCAUUGGUUGAAUUAAAUAUCUUUUGGCCCACAUAAUUUAUUUUUAUUAUUUUAUUUUUUUAUUCAACUAAUGAAUUAAUGCCACAUCAAUUUAUACAAGAUAAGUUUGUACAAGAGUUUGUGACUGUAUCAUCACUCGUCAAAAUUUUGAGGUGGUUAGAUAUACAUAUAACAAAACAAAGGUGGUGCAGAAAUAAUUUCCCUAAAAGUAAUAAUAGUCUACCUUUAUCUAUUAUCACAAGUUACAUAGAGAUGGGUAAUAAUGCUAAUUAUUAAAUUUUAUUUAGGCAAUGAUGAAAAUUAAUUAAUUAGAUAGGGAUAUUUUGGAGAAUAUCUUUUAAUGAUACCAUUAAGAUUUUUUAGAUUUAGCAAAAAAUUAAAAAAAUUAGUUUAAUAACUUAAUGACUUACUAGCUGAACAUUUUUGUUAUUGAAAAAACAAAUGGACUUAAUAUUUUUACCUUUUUGCUUAAUCUAAAAAUUCUGAAUAAUAUUAUAAAAGAUAUUUUCCAAAAUUUCCCUACCUAAUUGAUAAUUUUCACCGUUACCUAAAUAAAAUUUAAUAAUUAGCAUUAUUAUCUAUUUCUAUAACUUGUGAUAAUACUUCUGUUUCAUCGAUUUUGUCUGAAUCCUCAUUUUCUCCGAAAAAAGGGAAGGAGAAGGAUCUUCUUUGCUUUUUAAUUGGAUUUGGAUCCAUCGGAACUGACGGGGCUCAAACCCACAACUUCCGCCAUGACAGGGCAGUACCCCCUUCGGCUUGUAGUUGAGAAGAGUUUUAGUUUAGGAAAGGGCUAAAGAAAGGGGUGCAAUCCCUCUCGUUGAGAGUUGUUGAGUGUUAAAAAUUGUAUAUUUAUAAAGGAGAAAAUCGUUAUUUUACACUCCAAGUUUCACUAGCAUCCCUACUUUUAUGUAUUUAAGUCCUUGUGAUUUAAUUAUGCGUGUUGUAUUAUAAUUAAGUAUUUUAUGUAUUUUAGGGGCAUCAUGAUCAUUUCACAAUAAACGACAGAUCAGACAGCAAAACGAAUAUCACUUUUGAACUCAAGACAGUUGAAAACCUUAGGGAGAGCAUAAAAGGAAAAAUGACACUAUUCACAUGUACGGUAUUGUCCAUGAUACUGUUCACGACAUUGUUCACAUAUAUGGAAUGAUGACGUGACAUUGACCGAUGAGGUGACAUUAACUGAUGAGGUGUCACGAUCCUAUUAGACUAAAAUUCUUAUGUACUGUUAAUCAGUGACGUGGCAGCAUGUUAGUGGACCAAAAAUCGUGCGUACGAUAUAUGCAUAUACACGGAAUUAUUUAUAACCAAACUGUGUCACUAUUCAAGCCGCCUCACAAUUCAUACCGCGUCACUAUUCAAAUCGCGUGUUGUUGACACGUGGCGCAAUCCUGAGCGUCCAAAUUAUUUUUAAUCCAAUGACCAUGAUUUACUCAGUGUAUCUAUAAAAAAUGGGACUCCCCCCUAAUUUGAGACCCCUUAAUUCAAUUUUGAGCUGCAUUUUCUGUAAUUCCUUCUCCAUAUUAUAUUUUCUAAGUAUUUUAAUAAAUUUUCAUUUUACCCCUAGUUCAAUUAUAAGUAGUUAAUUUUUUUUCAACCUUGGGUUGAAGGUGAAGUCUCAACAUGUUCCAUGACUUUAUUUGUAAAUUUACUUUCUCUUCUCCUCUGAUUUUUGUGGAUGUUUUGACUUUUCGUCAACAGAUAGUAAUAAUCUUAUCUAGAUACCGCACUGGUAUAACCAGCUCCCUAGUGCAAGGUUAUUAUUAUUUGAGACCCCUGAAUUCAUUUUUGAGCUACAAUUUCUGUAAUUCCUUCUCCAUCUUGUAUUUUCUAAAUAUUUUAAUAAAUUUUCAUUUUACCCCUAGUUCAAUUAUAAGUAGUUAAUUUUUUUUUCAAGCUUGGGUUGAAGGUGAAGUCUCAACAUGUUCUAUGACUUUAUUUGUAAAUUUACUUUCUCUUCUCCUCUGAUUUUUGUGGAUGUUUUGAUUUUUUGUCGACAUAUAGUAAUAAUCUUAUCUAGAUACCACAUUGGUAUAACCGGCUCCCUAGUGCAAGGUUAUUAUUAUUUGGCACGAUAAGCCCUUAGCACCAUAUUGAUUAGAGUGUGAUUCAUGAGGAGUGAAAACCCCCUCAUGAUUUAAUUGGCACUAAUAAGGAAUAUUAAGCUCAUGGUGCAUGUUGAUGCAGAUCCAGAUAGCCAAGUACUCCAUUUUAAUAGUUUUCUCUUUAAUUUAUUCCUGCCAUUUUAAUUCAAAUUUUAAGAUAAUCUAAGUCACUUUUAUCACAAAUCCAACCACCCACUUAGAAAUUUAAUUCUACACAUAAUUAAAAUCCACAUUUUCGUGGGAUCGAUACUCGUCACCAUUAAUAUAUUCUACAAUAGAUUUGUGCACUUGCGAGUUCAAUAAAAUUUGCACAACAAGAGUCAAAGGUCUCCUGGAACUUUAACUAAUAGGAGAGGGCUUUAAUGUUAUAGCACCUAGGGGGUGGGCAAAAUCGAGUUCGGAUCAACCCGAUCGGGUUUCGGGUUGAUCGGGUUAGAUGAAUUUUCAUCCGAACUCAAAACGAACUUAUAACCCGAACCGAUCUGAUCUGAAUAUAAUUCGAACUCAACCCGAAUAUAAUUCGGAUCGGAUCGGAUCGGAUCGGGUUAUAAGUUCGGGUUGAGUUCGGAUCGGAUUAGAUCCAGGUUAGAUGUGGUUCGGGUUAGAUUUGAAUCAAUUUGGAUUAUUCGAGUCUACUCGGGUCGGGUACAAUUCAACAAUACAUAAUUACCUAUUAUUAACAAUCGCCAAAUACCAAUUAAACAUUAAUCUUUCACACAUAAUAUAUAAUAUACAUCUAUAGCAUCACUGUCAAAGGCUCAAAGCUUCCAAAACCCAAAGUCAACAGCCAAAAUUCGGGUUGCAGCUUAUCGGGUUCGAAUGGGUGUUGACGGGUUCGAAUAGACCUUGAAUCAGAUUGGGUGAUGGUGGAGGAUUAGAGACAUGGAGGUGGCGCAACAAAUUCGGUACUUCGUAGCAGUAGAUCGGUAGAUCGGGUACUGCGUAGCAGUAGAUUGGCUUCGGUUGGCGUCGAAUCUUGGUGGUUGCUGCGUUUGGCGUUGGAUCUCAGUUUUGGUUGGCAGUGGGCUGUUGCUGCUUGUGUGUUUGCGUUUCGUUUAUUUGGGGGAGGCUGGGGGUUGGCUGUCGGCAGUGGGUUGCGAGCGAGGGAGGCUGUGGGUGGUGGGUGAGUGGUCGUGUACGUGGAUUGGUUGUUGGCAGUGGGCUGUUGCUACUGCUGUGCUGCGUGUGUUGUUGUUAAUGUGUUAUUUGUGUGUGUUUGUAAUCGUUUGUGUGUGUGUGUGCAUCCUUUGUGUGUGGUUGCAAUCGUUUGUGUGUGUGUGCCUGACUUGUGUUUGACUUGUGUUUUUGUGUAUUGUGUAUUAUUUGUGAAAUGUGAAUAUGUUGUUUGUGUGUGGCGUGUGUGUUUAGAUUUAGUUUUUUUUUUUUAAAGCAACCCGAUCAGGUUUCACCAUUUUCAUCCGAUCGGGUUUCCUUUAUAACCUAAUCCGAUCCGAACCUGGAUUUUUUUGGGUCAAGUCAGGUCGGAUCGGAUUGGGUCGGGUCGGGUAUUUUGCCCACCCCUAAUAGCACCCAAUUGUGGCUCUCAAUUCAUCCUAUUUCAUCAGAUCUGGGAUGUGAUAUGGUUAUGUGGUGUAAAAUUAUUAUUUUUGUCUUUUUUAUUUUCUUCAAAAUAGUAUUAUUUAUCUUCAUAAUUUUUUAUGAAUAUUU